CCUGGCCUGGGGAGAUGUGACUGCCAGCCUAGGCAGGAAGGACAGUAGGGGCAGGGGAGGGUCUGCUGUCGCCUCCAAGAGUGCAGAGAUGAUUAUGAAGAAGACAGUUAAGUGAAAUGGGUUUGGAAGCAUUAGCUGGGGCUUGCCAGCAAAGAAAGAACAGGCUAAGCAAAACCAACGGCGUGUGUGCAGAUCUACUCGGGCUGGAUUAAGAGAAGGGAGAAAGGGUGGGUACCAACGCUGAAAAGUCGGGUCCAGAGCAGCCUGAAGUGUUUUCUGUGCUCAUGCAAAGGAGCGCUGAUGUUGUUCCAUCGGCCAUGGGUCAAUGCUGGAGGCUUCGGGGGAGAAAUUAUGUAAGAUUGAUUUUGAGAAAAUCUGCUCUGGCAUCACCAGAGAAGACAGGGCAGAGACACCUCUGCACAACUAAGCUCUCGAUGCAAGGGAACGGGCUUAUUCCCCUCAUGAAAACUGAUGUCAGAUGGGUUGUGCAAGUCAAAGUGGUGGCAAUUUUGAAAGUCUUAGCAGCAGACUCUCAAGACAGCUGACAAUUCUGAGGCUUUUAAUUCACGAGGGAUUAUUUCAAAGUGCCGAAGAAAAAGGAUACAUGGAAACGGAAGAACCAAAUUUUAGUUCUGUUCAUGAAGUCACACAUCGCCUUCUUAGCAGAGAAAGGAAGAGACGCACGGGGAAAAUAAAACACGUGUUUCUAAACCACACAGGAAUGCUGAACACGUGCCAUCUGGUGUCAAGUGUUGUUUUUUGAAAAACAAGACCGAAAAACCCAGUCAAAUCUCCUCUGUUAGGUCUAACAAUGAAACAAGUUUUCCUAUUUAUUACUCACAAUAUCUUUAUAAACUAGAAAUAAUCAUUGUAUGAGGACUGAGUUUCGAUUAUACUGAAGAGUGGACACGACCCAAGAAAUCUCUUUUGAACCCUUUCCUGUAAAAGAACAAAGGCAUAUUCGGGAUUUUAAUGUGAUGCUGAUAGGAUCAAAGCUGUUUGUGUGGAAGAAAUAAACCAAACAUACAAAGAGAGAACACAGGUGUUGCCGGGACCCUGCAGACCAGAUCUCCUCUAAUCCUCACAACAGCCUUUCCGCAGGUCAUGCCCCGCCCAACAGAUAAGGAGAGGGACACAGGAAGGAAAGUCAGGGGAGUGAACUAGGACCCGGGGGAAGAGGCCGGGACCCAGAGGGCUCUCAAGUCCUCCCUGAGGCAGUAAAGACGGAAGAAAUUCACAAACAGCUAAAACCCUUCCACUUAAAUCCUGCGUCCCCAUUUCCAAACACGCCACAAUGUUUAAGACUGUAACUAAACAGAAGGGCUGUCUUUCUUUAAACAGCAUUCCCCUCCAAGACCCGGUUCACGGUCAGCACUUGGGCCCCAGGCAACCUCACGGAGCCAGCAGGCGCCUCACAGGGGCUGCACAGAGCCCUGCUGGAACCGCACCAGCGCCAGCCGCGCUGGAACACGCGGUGUAAGUCAACUCAUUCCUCUAUCUCGCAAAUCUAAAAUAAGGUAAGCAUCAUCUAGGAACCCCGCAGAGAGAUGCGUACCCCGCCACCUGAAGCAUUCCUGGUUUAGCAUCUUUAAGUAACACACAAAGGGUAAGGGAUAAAACCAUCGCUUUAGAAACCAAGUAUCAGGAAGCUUCAAACAGUAAACUGGCCCAUCAGGUUCGCUUAGUCCAAGAAGAAUUUAAGCUUUGCUCAUUUCUGCAUAGUCCUUUAGGCGGUGUCUCCAAACAACGACAAAACCCAAAAGUAGAAACCCAACAUCAAAAACCCCACCAGGAGUUCCCAUGGUGACUCAGCGGGUUAAGAAUCUGGCUAGCAGCCAUGAGGAUUCGGGUGCGACCCCUGGCCUCGCUCAACGGGUUCCGGAUCCAGUGUUGCUGUGAGCUGUGGUGUAGGUCACAGAGUCGGCUGGGAUCUGGCAUUGCUGUGGUGUAGGCCGGCUUGACCCAUAGCCUGGGAACUGCCAUAUGCCACAGGUGCAGCCCUAAAAAGACAAAAAAAAAAAAAAAAAAAAAAAAAAACCCAAAAAACAACAAAAAACCCCACCAAAUUCUUACUGGGGGUAAUAACUGGUUCACAGUGGAAGGACUCACUUCAUCUGAGACAGCUGUGCCUUCAGAGCCUAGAGGAGGUCCCUGCCGGUCAGCAGGCUACCUCAGCAGUCACCCAGCACACCUGAGUGUCACCCACUCACCAUCAAUCCCCGACACCAAUCUUUCUACAUCAUGCAAUGAGUUCUACCUAAGUCCACAAAUUGAAAAAAAUCUAAGCAGGAGUUUUGCUUCCUUGUCUAAAAUUAACACAUCCGAAAAAUAAGAGCAGAUGAGGCACGACUAGGAGAACGGAACCAUAGGUUCUAGGAAACCUUGAGAAGCCUGUAUUUUAUUACCUCACAACAGAAACUGUUUCCAGGAAAACGCAAAGCAGUCAACACAAACCUGUGGCCACCUCACUGCCAGUUUACUCCAACAGACCUGACCGCAUUCAAAGAGUUCACAGGCUGGGAAAUACUGAGUAAAAACCUUCAGACAUUUAAUGCUGUUUCGUCUGCAUACAGAUUGGGCUUAAAUCAAUGCAAAUGGGAAAGGGAGGACUCACAGAAAGUUACGACUGCCAGAAACAUUUUGCUUCACACACAAACCAACCAAAGGGAGCCCAAGGUGCCAACACACAGAAGGAACCCAGGACUGGGGUGCUGCUGUCAAUGAUGCGGAAAGAGGGGGACCCCAGUCCCAGACGCUGAGAAAUGGUUCUCAGUCCCUUGACCUCGAGUCCAUCGACACCUGCAACUCUGUGCCAGUGCUUUGCCCUCAGGUCAGACAGAGAAAACCACGUAUGCAGGGCCUGCUGCGAUGAGCUGGGGGCACCUGGGAGCGUCUGUAUGGGACUUAGAGAAAAGCCCGUUACAGCUUCCUCCCACUACGUAAUUAUGAUGGGAAAAAAAAGCAUUAGAGACACUCAUAAAUACUGACUUUGGACAAAACCUGCAAAUAAGAGGAUUCAAACAAAUUUUAAACUUGGAGCCGCCAGGACCUUGCAGCGCACCUGCCACCUCUUUGUGGCACCACGGUGGGAGCUCUGCCCAUUCCUAAAGACUGACUGUGAGCAGGUCAGGAGACAACGACGCAAAUACAAACUGGCACCAACAUACACCUGUGCUCUCUGAUUUCUCAUAUUAAAAUUUCUUUACCUGUCUCUCACAAGGUUUAUUAAACCAUCUCUCCCAAUCCCCAAUUCCAAUCUACCCCCCAUCUUCUCCGAAGGCUCAGCAUGCAAGGAAAUUAGAAGAACAGGGUCAAGGCGUCUUAAUCUGAUAUUUUUUCCUAAGAUACCAGAGCGCUUUCUCCUAAUAGCUACGUCUAGAAAGAAGAUGUUAUUCAAAGGAGGGGAACGUCUCUUUCAGGCGUCAGAUGUUAACAGUAUGGCCGAAUGGCUCCUUUAGAAUGGUAAAAAGAAACUGCACCAAAUAACUGGGUGUACCUGUUUCUAGGGUCCAUAAAAAGUAGGCAAUCAGGAGUUCCUGUCGUGGCGCAUCAGCUGUUCAUAACCCGCCGUCACAGGGUCAAGAGCUAUACUUUGUGAUAUAAUUUAACACAACAUAUACUAACGUAAUAUAGUUUAACAUAAAUAUGUUGAAUAUAUUUUAAGUUCACGUAGCUAUUGAUUUACAGUGCAGUCUUAGCUCUAUAUACUUUCAUCUUGAAAUUUCAGUGAGGCCAACUUUCAUCUGCAACAGAAAAAUCAGCGCAUACAACCUGAUGGAUGCAUAUAUCCCAAAUUUAAUUUUUUUUUAAAUUUUUUGGCUGCCCCUGGGCAUAGGGAGUUCCUGGGCCAGGGAUCGCAUCCGAGCCACAGUUGUGACUUACACCGAAGCUUUGGCAAUGCCAGAUCCUUUAAGCCACUGUGCGGGGCUGGGGAUUGAAUCCGCAUCCUGGUGCUGCAGAGACGCUGCCAAUUCCAUUGGACCACAGGGGGAACGCCUUUCAACUAAAAAACAGAUUAUUUACUGCUUUAUGUUCAGCAACCCUGGGGCGCUCUGUUCUAACUGCAUGAGGCAUUUAGAGAAUGUAACAGAGCAACAUGAGGGUCCUUCCCCUCCGUGAACCGCAGCAGCGGUGUGCACAGAAAUGCGAAACCUGAAGAGCCACCCCACCCUCACAGCUAUGAGGAGGGAUCCAGCAUCUUCGCAAAGUACAUAAGCUCUAGGAUCCAGGUGCUAACGCCACAGCCACAGUUAAAAAUCGCUAAACCAUGGAUCCUGAUUUAGCUUCAAGUCUGUUACAAGUCUUCCCAAGACUGUUACAAGGCAAUGACUAACACUAAGAAUAAAAGUAUGUGCUCUGGAGGUCCCGUCGUGGCGCAGUGGUUCACGAAUCCGACUAGGAACCAUGAGGUUGAGGGUUCGAUCCCUGGCCUUGCUCCGUGGGUUAAGGAUCCGGCGUUGCCGUGAGCUGUGGUGUAGAUUGCAGACGUGCCUCGGAUCUGGCCUUGCUGUGGCUCUGGUGUAGGCUGGUGGCUACAGCUCUGAUUGGACCCCUAGCCUGGGAACCUCCAUAUGCUGCUGGAGCAGCCCUAGAAAAGGCAAAAAAAGACCAAAAAAAAAAAAAAAAAAAAAUUGAGCUAGAGUUAAAUUCUCCAGAACUUCCCAGAAGAACCCUGGGAAGAAAAAAGCUCCCCCCAAAGAAAAGCUGAAACAUGACAGUAAAAUCAACGUAACACAGAAACUGACUAUGCUUUAAAUCUUUAUCCUCAAAGCAAUAGAGGACUAAAAGACUAACUGUCAUUUAUGACAGGUUUGGGUCUCUACUUAUGCGCAGCCAGAGCAUCAGCAUUUACUGGCAGUAGUGAAAACAGGAAAAGGGCAGACUUCACACCAAGUGCUAAUUUUUCAGGUAAGAAUAGCAGUGGAAAAUCAUCUUACUCAUCACUAUAAAAACUCUUCAGGAAUAGUCUUCGGCCGCAAUCUAAUUUUACAGGCCCAGUUAACAAGGGGAAGACCACUGUUACAACGAAAAGGCCAGUCCUUAAUCCAUCAGCUCAAACCGGCCAGGACCUUUCCCUGCCGAUGAAAAGUGAAGAAAGAAUAACGAGUAACAAUGUGGUUUACACAGAAUUACCACAUGUUAAGGGGGCGCCAUUUUUCGUAUCCUACUAGCUCUCAUUUGCAGCAGUAUAUUUCUUCUCAAGGUAUUCAUAUUUGUGAAGCAUCUCAUUUUACAUACCCAGUACGAAUUUUUACUGUAACUACAUAAAAAGAAGAAAAACUGUCAGUUACCACAACAGUUCAUGUUUUCCUCUGCCUCUGCCCUGCUAUGAAUCACAGCUGUCAAGGACACACUAUGAAAUCUGCACAAACACAUCUCACUCAAGGCAAAACACCAGGCUAAACGUUCAGAACCCCUAGAACCUAGGUAUGUGUAAAAGAGAUCAGUGCUACCCGUGCAGAAAUCCUCACUUUUCUCAUGCUCAGCUGCUUCUGUUGCUGACAUGCUCGCUCGCUGGCUACAGCAGAAUAACAAGCACACUUCUAGACAGUGCACUUCUCCAGUUUUAUUAUGAAAAUAACACGAGAGUAAUACAAUUAAAUAAAAAAAAAAAAAAAA
ensembl:lncRNA